rnacentral:rRNA from 1 species
GUGGGGAAUAUUGGGCAAUGGGCGCAAGCCUGACCCAGCAACGCCGCGUGAGGGAAGAAGGCUUUCGGGUUGUAAACCUCUGUCCUUGGUGACGAAACAAAUGACGGUAGCCAAGGAGGAAGCCCCGGCUAACUACGUGCCAGCAGCCGCGGUAAUACGUAGGGGGCGAGCGUUGUCCGGAAUUACUGGGCGUAAAGGGUGCGUAGGUGGCCUUUUAAGUUGGAUGUGAAAUACCCGGGCUUAACUUGGGGGGUGCAUCCAAAACUGGGAGGCUAGAGUGCAGGAGAGGAAAGCGGAAUUCCUAGUGUAGCGGUGAAAUGCGUAGAUAUUAGGAGGAACACCAGUGGCGAAGGCGGCUUUCUGGACUGUAACUGACACUGAGGCACGAAAGCGUGGGGAGCAAACAGGAUUAGAUACCCUAGUAGUCC